rnacentral:rRNA from 1 species
GAUGAACGCUGGCGGCGUGCCUAACACAUGCAAGUCGAGCGCGGUCCCUUUGGUGCUUGCACCAAAGACGACUGAGCGGCGGACGGGUGAGUAACGCGUGGGUAACCUGCCCUGUACAUAUGGAUAACAUGCUGAAAAGCAUACUAAUACAUAAUAACGUACAUUGAAGGCAUCUUCAGUGUAUCAAAGCGUUAGCGGUACAGGAUGGACCCGCGUCUGAUUAGCUAGUUGGUGGGGUAAAAGCCUACCAAGGCGACGAUCGGUAGCCGGACUGAGAGGUUGAACGGCCACAUUGGGACUGAGACACGGCCCAG